rnacentral:tRNA from 1 species
GAACAUAGUUUAAGUAAAUUCUAGUCUGUGACGCUAGAGACGAAGAUUAACUAUCUUCUGCUCACC